rnacentral:rRNA from 1 species
GCCCAUUAGCUAGCCCCACCACCUAAACUCAACAAACAAACAUAAAUAAACCCAAAAACACUAAACUUAUCUAAACAAAACAUUUUUCCUCCUUAGUACGGGCGACAGAAAAGGACCCCAGGGCGCAAUAGAAUAAGUACCGCAAGGGAAAGCUGAAAGAGAAGUGAAAUAAACCAGUAAAGCCAAAAAAAGCAGAGAUUUUUCCUCGUACCUUUUGCAUCAUGA